ACGAGAGGGGAAGAGAGAGACAAGGAUAAGAGGGGAAUGAUGGAGGAAUGUUGAAGGGAAUAGCAACGAGAGAGAGAGAGAGAGAGAGAGAGAGAGAGAGAGAGAGAGAGAGAGAGAGAGAGAGAGAGAGAGAGAGAGAGAGAGAGAGAGAGAGAGAGAGAGAGAGAGAGAGAGAGAGAGAGAGAGAGAGAGA